rnacentral:lncRNA from 1 species
AUCCAAGAUGGCGACGUAUCCACCGCGGAGGCUGCUGAGAGCAAGACCUUUACCCUCUGACCCCCGCCGUGACCCCCGUCGCUCCGGCUUCCCUCAAGGCGGCGGCGGCGGCGGCGGAAGGUGGGAGCGGCGAUUCAGAAAGGUUGGGGGUGGGUAGGCCGCUUCCCGCGCGCUGCUCGGAGGGUGAGGAGAGGCGUUUUACUCCCCCACCGCCCGCUCCGCGGCUUGCCCGAGCCUCUUCCCGACUACCAGGAGUCGUGUCGCUCUUCCGCUGCCGGUACAGCAAGCGGGGCCUCCGCGGCCGCUGCCGUUUCCGUCCGCAGCGCCGAAUCGCUUCUUCCAGGACUCGGGUCUUGGGCCCGAGAGCCCCCGCCACCCCCGGGGCCUGUGCACGCAUUUCCAGGGACCGGCAGCGCGUCACCGUCACCUCCCGAGAAAUCCCACUCCCCGGCCCUCACGGAAGCCUGAGCCAGCAGCCGGACCCUUUGAAAGCCUGGUUGGUUUGGUGGACACUUCGGAGUUGUCACAGUGAAAUUAAAGUUUGCAAUAUUGGCAUCUCUUUCUAUUCUUUUGUGUUCCCAUAA